rnacentral:misc_RNA from 1 species
AACGAGGCCGACCUGCGGCUGAGUUACCUGCGGAGGGAUCAUUACACAAUACAAUAUGAAGGCUGUCCGCAGCUGGAGUAUUUUAUUACCCUUGUCUUUUGCGCACUUGUUGUUUCCUGGGCGGGUUCGCUCGCCACCAGGACCACCAAAUAAACCUUUUUUAUGCAGUUGCAAUCAGCGUCAGUACAAACAAUGUAAAUCAUUUACAACUUUUAACAAUGGAUCUCAGAUCGGAAGAGC